GGAGGGUGGGGGUGGGGGGAGGAAAGGGGGAACAGAAAACUUUCUGCGAUCGUCUUCCGUUUUUCUGGAUAGAGGAUGCCGAGCUACUUUAAAGCCAUUUGGCGCAAGAACUGCACCAUGGAGCUACGCGGAACUUUUAAAGCAGGAUGAGGAUGGAGGAACGACGUGAAUUCGUGGAGAUUUGCCCGUGGGGAUCUUUGUGCUUGCCUUACCGCCGGGACCGGGGGGGGAGAACCUCCCCCACCCUCGGAGCCGCAGCGAUAUUUAAACAACGCAGACAGAGCACAGGGAAUGACAUCCAAGGCACGACACGGCCGGGGGCAGCAGCGCGCCGGCCGGAACCUGCCUUCUCUUCCCCAGCCCCGGGAAAGCGAGGAGCUCCCCCCCCAAAACACGCACGCAUGUAAGAUGUUUGCCACGGAGCUGCCACCAUUUGGCCAAAAGCGCUCUGCCGUGCAUAAGGGAUCGGAAACCGCGUCCUCACGUCACUUUCUUCCGAAAUGGGAUUUUUAAUUUUUUUUUAAUUUUUUUUUUUUGGGGGGGGGGGGGGUACUUCCUUACACCGUCCUGGAAAUCGCUGAUGGCUUUACGUCUUCACAGAGGCUAAGGAGACUUUUGUGAGAGUGGAGAGACUUACAACGCACAGAGAGGCCUGCGGUGGGAUGGAUGCUUCUCGCUCCUAAAACAGCCAACGCACCUUCAUCGUUGAUGUUGUUUUCUGAGGGGAGCAGACAGACCGUGGGUUAUGCUGUCGGAAAUCAGUGGCUGGAAGGAAAAGUUGGGAAUAAACUCUAAAGGUGAU
rnacentral:lncRNA from 7 species